rnacentral:rRNA from 1 species
CCUACGGGUGGCAGCAGUGAGGAAUAUUGGUCAAUGGCCGGAAGGCUGAACCAGCCAAGCCGCGUGAAGGACGAAGGUGCCAAGCAUUGUAAACUUCUUUUGUCAAGGGACAAAAUCAGGCUCGAGAGCCUGACCGAGGGUACUUGAAGAAAAAGCAUCGGCUAACUCCGUGCCAGCAGCCGCGGUAAUACGUAGGGGGCAAGCGUUAUCCGGAUUUACUGGGUGUAAAGGGGGCGCAGACGGCAGCGCAAGCCAGGAGUGAAAGCCCGGGGCCCAACCCCGGGACUGCUCUUGGAACUGCGCGGCUGGAGUGCAGGAGGGGCAGGCGGAAUUCCUGGUGUAGCGGUGAAAUGCGUAGAUAUCAGGAGGAACACCGGUGGCGAAGGCGGCCUGCUGGACUGCGACUGACGUUGAGGCCCGAAAGCGUGGGGAGCAAACAGGAUUAGAUACCCGAGUAGUC